AGAGUUUGAUCCUGGCUCAGAUUGAACGCUGGCGGCAUGCCUAACACAUGCAAGUCGAACGGGCUGUAGCAAUACAGCUAGUGGCGGACGGGUGAGGAAUACAUAGGAAUUUGCCCUUAAGUGGGGGAUAGUCCGGGGAAACUCGGUUUAAUACCGCAUGAUCUCGUGAGAGCAAAGCAGGGGACCGCAAGGCCUUGCGCUUUUGGAGAAGCCUAUGUCGGAUUAGCUAGUUGGUGAGGUAAUGGCUCACCAAGGCGACGAUCCGUAACUGGUCUGAGAGGAUGAUCAGUCACACCGGAACUGAGACACGGUCCGGACUCCUACGGGAGGCAGCAGUGGGGAAUAUUGGACAAUGGGCGCAAGCCUGAUCCAGCAAUGCCGCGUGUGUGAAGAAGGCCUUCGGGUUGUAAAGCACUUUAGGUAGGGAAGAUAAAACUC
rnacentral:rRNA from 1 species